rnacentral:rRNA from 1 species
AUUGAACGCUGGCGGCAUGCCUUACACAUGCAAGUCGAACGGCAGCGCGGACUUCGGUCUGGCGGCGAGUGGCGAACGGGUGAGUAAUGUAUCGGAACGUACCAUUCAGUGGGGGAUAACGCAGCGAAAGCUGCGCUAAUACCGCAUAUUCUGUGCGCAGGAAAGCAGGGGAUCGCAAGACCUUGCGCUGAUUGAGCGGCCGAUAUCAGAUUAGCUAGUUGGUGAGGUAAAGGCUCACCAAGGCGACGAUCUGUAGCGGGUCUGAGAGGAUGAUCCGCCACACUGGAACUGAGACACGGUCCAGACUCCUACGGGAGGCAGCAGUGGGGAAUUUUGGACAAUGGGCGCAAGCCUGAUCCAGCCAUGCCGCGUGAGUGAAGAAGG